GUUGUUUUUCCGAAAAUCAAUUACGAAUGGCGGGAUUCUAAGUUUCAUGACCUUAAAAGCUUGUUUCUUUCUUUUCCUGUCUUUCUUAAUGCACUUUUCGGUUAACAAGUCAACAUCAAUUUCUUUUGUUGUAAAAGGUUAAGAGGAAGGUGGCUUUACUUUCGGGUAAAGUGUUUAUAGCCUUUUAACUCUGCAAUCGGAGAGAUUGAGGUCUGCAGCGUAGAUCCUUCGGGGCUAGAUACGUUUGUGCUAAGUUAUAGCUUUUCAUAGACAACUUGUUGACUAUGUUUAGUCUUGUAGCUUACUCGCAGAUGCUAUUUUACCUAC
rnacentral:rRNA from 1 species